GCGGAAGUGGUGGAACUGGUAGACGCGCUAGGUUCAGGACCUAGUGGGUGCAAGCCUGUGGGGGUUCGAGUCCCCCCUUCCGCA
rnacentral:tRNA from 1 species